UUCCCCCUCUUUCGUGGUGUCUCCAACCUCAGCAUCCUUUCAUCCUCAUCCUCAUCAUCACUGCUCCUCUCAAACGUCUCCAUCUGCUUGGAUCUCCAGAACAUCCACGAUUUGAUCCUCAAUGAUCCAUCCUGGUCCCAACAGAACCUCAGCAUCUUCUUCUCUGCCUCAGAGUCUCUGGCUGCUCUCUCCGCAGUCUUCUUCAGCUUUCCUUUGGUCUCACCUGGAACCUUCCUCCACCCGUUCCGACCUGCGUCACACGCCUCACAGAGGCAGAAACCUGAUUUAGCUGCGGUAAAUGAUGAGUAGAUGACAUGUGAUGUCAGGAGUUCCUCCUUCUUGGUGUGAAGCUCACAUUCCUCUGGAAGAACACGUCAGACCGGAGAUCCGUCCAUGACUCCAGAUGUUCCAGAACAUCUUCAUUCCUGAACUCUGAAAACACGGAGCAUCAGCAGAUGCAUAAGGCAUGAAAAUCAACCAAUCCUGUUCCAAUAUCAAAGGAGAACAGAACUCAUGAAAACUGCCUCAAAAGAAAGAAAGUGGUGAGUGGGAUCUGGCUUGAACGGAGAAGAGAACGGGUUUGACCAGGCAGAGGAUGUUGAACCUUGAGAAUGGCGAUCCGACUGUGUGGCGUGGAGACGUGGAGGCGUGGCGUGGCUGGAGGUCAGGGUGACAGGCAGAACCAGAUGGAGUGAGCUUGAACCCAGGUUGGCACUCGUGGCGGAUUGUAGUCCUGUAGACAACGAUGGCGCCGUACGGUGAGACCAGGUCCUGCACCAUGGAGGGCAACAAACGCUGGAGAAGGUCCACCUGGAACAGCUGGAGAGCUGAUGAGGAGAGUGCCAACGGGGGGGGGAGUUUCCUUUAGUUCAUUUUCAUUUCUACAUUAUUGACAUUAUUCAUCUUUAGAAUGACAUGUUUGUCAUUGAAGGAUUUUCAUUUACAGACGUUGUUUUCAUGAGUUUCAGUGCAGCUGAAACUUAACACAAACAAACCAGACGGGACGCUGCAGCCUUUACUGCUAAAAGACCCAUUUGGUCCAGACCAGAACCAGAACCAGCAAGAGCCACAAAGUUCAGCUUCAUCGUUUAAAAAUAAACUUUAUUUAUGUCUUCC